rnacentral:rRNA from 1 species
AGUGAACGCUUGCGGUAGGCCUAACACAUGCAAGUCGAACGGCAGCACAGUAAGAGCUUGCUCUUACGGGUGGCGAGUGGCGGACGGGUGAGGAAUACAUCGGAAUCUACUUUUUCGUGGGGGAUAACGUAGGGAAACUUACGCUAAUACCGCAUACGACCUACGGGUGAAAGCAGGGGAUCUUCGGACCUUGCGCGAUUGAAUGAGCCGAUGUCGGAUUAGCUAGUUGGCGGGGUAAAGGCCCACCAAGGCGACGAUCCGUAGCUGGUCUGAGAGGAUGAUCAGCCACACUGGAACUGAGACACGGUCCAGACUCCUACGGGAGGCAGCAGUGGGGAAUAUUGGACAACGGGCGCAAGCCUGAUCCAGCCAUACCGCGUGGGUGAAGAAGGCCUUCGGGUCGUAAAGCCCUUUUGUUGGGAAAGAAAAGCAGCAGGUUAAUACCCCGCUGUUCUGACGGUACCCAAAGAAUAAGCACCGGCUAACUUCGUG